CUCAUUUGUCGGCAAGACUAUAAGACAAUUGACCAUCUCCAAUAUCUAGAACUUUCGGAUAAGGGAAUGAGGGUACUUCGGACAAAAAUCAAGAUGUUUGAUGUAAACCAGCUCUUUUGAGAUUCUUACCCACAUGAUUUUUCUUUCUCUCUAUAGGAUCUUUAGUUUCAGUUUGUCUAAAUCUGCCUUCUUCUUCCUCUGUAAUGCAAAGAGAUGACUCGCUCAAGGAUCCAACACCCUCCUCGUCCGUGAUGAUGAGACGACACCAUUCUGGACGUGUUUUCUCCAUCUCCUCCUGCUCCAUCAUUCUUCUUGUUGUCCAUGUCCUUGGAACCCGAUACAGGUCCAGAUACGAAAGACAUCAAUCAAUUCAACUCGCUUCUCCCUCAAGCCUUGAGACUCCAAGUGUCAAAAUAUCUGUGCAUGUCCCUCUUCCCACUCCUUAAUCCAUAUUUUAUAACCAGAAAAGGUGGUGGAUAGAUAUAAUUUACAAUCGCUGGUGAUUUCAAAACAUCAGGGUCUGGAACAUUGAAGCAUAACUGAUUGAUUUUGGUGAAACGCAACUGGAGAGAAAAAUUGAUAUUGGCAUAAGGUGCUUACCAUAACAUCAUAGAUGAAACAAAUGAAAGUCCUUUGAAGGAGAGCGUAACCAGCGAGACCCAUUUCACUGUUGUGACCCAAGAAAGCUUGAGCUACCACUACGCAGCCAAACGACAUCACUCUGAACAAAGACGAUGUUAUGAGCAAGAGAUUUUACCUGAUUGCUUCACACAGUAUUCAACAGGGAGCUUCUCUUAACUAUGUGUCCAUGCCUCUUUAUGUUUCAAGUACAUGGACGGCACCAGAUUGAAAGGUUAGCAUCAGAAUUUCUAAGUAAUUGUGUAAUUGUUUGGGACAGAUUCAAGCACACCUGCUAUACUUUAUCUUACAAACCACUCAUUAGGCUAAAAGUAAACAAUUGCGUUCACAAAAUAAAUCUUACUGAAAGUAUGUAAAAAAAUACCAUAUAAAAAAUAUAACACACAAACUCUAUAAUGAAACUGCAAAAAAAAAUUGGAUAAGAAGCUGAAAUGUUUGUUCAAACCUUGGUAACUCACUUUUAUAUGCGGUGCUUGGAAUCUUACAUAAAAAUAGAUUUAUCUUUAUAAGGUUUUGUAUUGUAAGAAGACAUAUAUAGUGACUCACUUAUAGAAUUAAUAUGUAUAUAUACAUAUAGACAAUGUGAUAAAUUAUAAUAUUGAAUAAUCAAAGCACGACAUAUAAAAUCACCGGCUUUUAGCAAGAGAUUUAAUUUAGAUUGAUGCGGUCAAUCAUAUCUUACCAAAAUUGUAAGUUAUCAGCUUAUAUAUUUUGAUUGUCCGUGCAUACAAAGUUUCACAUUAACAAAAUUAUAUAUUUGCUUUCUUAACACAUAUUCGAAAAUAAUGGCAUAAUUAACUGAGGAGAGAUUCACUCUGCACACAAAAUAUAACUCAAGGUCACGUGAAUGAUGUGAACAUAUGAGCUAAAACAUACAGAUAAGAUAGGGAACGAUAACCGAAUCAUAGAAUGUAAUAUAACAAAUCAUAAUUUCAAAUAUAUGUUGUUUGAGUUGAACAGCUUCUCUAUUGUAUGAGUUACUUUUUAUUUUUGUUUCAGAAAUAUUAAACAAUAACAUGAGAUGUGCACAAGUGUGUAAAUUCAACGGUAGAGUUCGUGAGUAUUGUUCGUCAUAACAUGCUUGUAUAAUGGAGUGAGAAUGAAUAAGUCGAGUUCUUCUGCUGGAGUGGGUUCCAUUGUAAAACAUGUCGAGUCGAGCUUUAGAGAUUAUAUACGAAGUUGUGGUGGAGAAAACCGGUUAACAAAGCUUGACGAUUGAAGUGAGUUAUUGACUUAUUUUAUGUACCGUGUAAUGUCCUAUGUUAAAGAAAAAAUGUGUAAUAGGUACCAAUGGCAAUACUUGUAAAUAUCCUAGUAAUUAAAGACUUAUUAACUAAAAUUGAUGAGGAGAGCUGUGAGCUUGCCACAUCAGCAAAAAUGGCAAAAUUGUUAUUAAUCUACCAAAGCAAGGUUACUCUUACCAA